UGGGAACUGCGUUNUGAACUGGGUGACUAGAGUGUGUCAGAGGGAGGUAGAAUUCCACGUGUAGCAGUGAAAUGCGUAGAGAUGUGGAGGAAUACCGAUGGCGAAGGCAGCCUCCUGGGAUANCACUGACGUUCAUGCCCGAAAGCGUGGGUAGCAAACAGGAUUAGAUACCCUGGUAGUCCACGCCCUAAACGAUGUCGAUUAGCUGUUGGGCAGCAUGACUGCUUAGUAGCGAAGCUAACGCGUGAAAUCGACCGCCUGGGGAGUACGGUCGCAAGAUUAAAACUCAAAGGAAUUGACGGGGACCCGCACAAGCGGUGGAUGAUGUGGAUUAAUUCGAUGCAACGCGAAGAACCUUACCUGGUCUUGACAUGUGCGGAACCCUCCAGAGACGGAGGGGUGCCUUCGGGAGCCGUAACACAGGUGCUGCAUGGCUGUCGUCAGCUCGUGUCGUGAGAUGUUGGGUUAAGUCCCGCAACGAGCGCAACCCUUGUCAUUAGUUGCCAUCAUUAAGUUGGGCACUCUAAUGAGACUGCCGGUGACAAGCCGGAGGAAGGUGGGGAUGACGUCAAGUCCUCAUGGCCCUUAUGACCAGGGCUUCACACGUCAUACAAUGGUCGGUACAGAGGGUAGCCAGGCCGCGAGGUGGAGCCAAUCUCACAAAACCGAUCGUAGUCCGGAUUGCACUCUGCAACUCGAGUGCAUGAAGUCGGAAUCGCUAGUAAUCGCAGGUCAGCAUACUGCGGUGAAUACGUUCCCGGGUCUUGUACACACCGCCCGUCACACCAUGGGAGUGGGGGAUACCAGAAGUAGGUAGGGUAACCGCAAGGAGCCCGCUUACCACA
rnacentral:rRNA from 1 species